UACGUAGGGUCCAAGCGUUAUCCGGAAUCACUGGGCGUAAAGCGUCCGCAGCCGGCGUGUUAAGUGAGAUGUUAAAUCGUGGGGCUCAACCCCGUCGAUGCAUCUCAUACUGGCAUGCUAGAGGAAAUCAGAGGCAAGUGGAAUUGGUAGUGUAGCAGUGAAAUGCGUAGAUAUUACCAGGAACAUCAAUGGCGAAGGCAGCUUGCUGGGAUUUUUCUGACGGUCAGGGACGAAAGCGUGGGGAGCGAACAGG
rnacentral:rRNA from 1 species